rnacentral:lncRNA from 1 species
GUGAGGUCCAGACCAUGUGUUGUGUGUUGUUAUAUUUGUUUGUCUAUUUACUCUGAGUAGUCAGGUCCAGACCAUGUGUUGUAUGUUGUUAUAUUUGUUUGUCUAUUUACUCUGAGUAGUCAGGUCCAGACCAUGUGUUGUGUGUUGUUAUAUUUGUUUGUCUAUUUACUCUGAGUAGUCAGGUCCAGACCAUGUGUUGUUUGUUGUUAUAUUUGUUUGUCUAUUUACUCUGAGUAGUCAGGUCCAGACCAUGUGUUGUUAGUUAUUGUAUUUGUUGUCUAUUUACUAUGAGUAGUCAGGUCCAGACCAUGUGUUGUGUGUUGUUUUAUUUGUUUGUCUAUUUACUCUGAGUAGUCAGGUCAGGUUCAGACCAUGUGUUGUGUUGUUACAUUUGUUUGAUAUCACAUUUGAGUAGCCAGGUCCAGACUAUGUGUUGUAAAUUGUUAUAUGCAGUGAGGUCCAAACCAUGUGUUGUGUGUUGUUGUAUUUUAUGUCUUUUUACUCUGAGUAUUCAGGUCAGGUCCAGAUCAUGUGUUGUCUGUUGUUACAUUUGUUUGUAUAUUUACUCUUGAGUAGUCAGGUCCAGACCAUGUGUUGUUUGUUGUUAUAUUAAUUGUCUAUUUACUCUGAGUAGUCAGGUCCAGACCAUGUGUUGUGUGUUGUUCUAUUAAUUGUCUAUUUACUCUGAAGUAGUCAGGUCCAGACCAUGUGUUGUCUGUUGUUACAUUUGUUUGUAUAUUUACUCUUGAGCAGUCAGGUCCAGACCAUGUGUUGUUAGUUGUUGUAUUUGUUUGUCUAUUUACUGUGAGUAGUCAGGUCCAGACCAUGUGUUGUUUGUUGUUGUAUUUGUUUGUCUAUUUACUCUGAGUAGUCAGGUCAGGUCCAGACCAUGUGUUGUCAGUUGUUGUAUUUGUUUGUCUAUUUACUCUGAGUAGUCAGGUCCAGACCAUGUGUUGUGUGUUGUUAUAUUUGUUUGUCUAUUUACUCUGAGUAGUCAGGUCCAGACCAUGUGUUGUGUGUUGUUAUAUUUGUUUGUCUAUUUACUAUGAAUAGUCCAUGUGUUGUUAGUUGUUGUAUUUGUUUGUCUAUUUACUCUCAGUAGUCAGGUCCAGACCAUGUGUUGUUUGUUGUCAUAUUUGUUUGUCUAUUUACUCUGAGUAGUCA